rnacentral:lncRNA from 1 species
AUGAUCAAAGUACGAUUUCACAAAUCACACAGUUUAUUGCUACACAGAGAUUUUUUUCCCCUUAGGUUCCCAGUGCUUAAACAAGGAGAGAAUGAGACCCAGCCUCACAGAGAAUACACUCGACAGAUGAAGCCCAUUAACCCCGCAGGUCUUCAUCUGCUGUCAGCCAGGCUGGAGUGCAGUGGCGCAAUCAGGGCUCACUGCAGCCUCAAUCUCCUAAGCUCAAGAGAUCCUCCCGCCUCAGCCUCUGGAGUAGCUGGGAUCACAGAUUUGGAGAGGGGAGCUCCGUCCAGCUGGCUCCAUGUCCUCCCAGCGCGGCCCGUCAAUUCGAAGACUUCCUGACUUUCUGGCACAACAAGAUGUUCCUGGCUCAUCUUGUACUUCUCCUGCCCAGCCCUGGAAUCAGCCAUUUCUCCAAGGAGCCCUGGUUCCUUCUGGUGGAGAAUGGUGUCUAAAUAGGAAAAAAAAAAAAAAACUGGCAGAGAAAACAGGUUGAGGGAAGAGAUGCUUGUAUCUCAAAAAUAACAGAUUUGGGGAGAGUCUGGUUCCUCACUCCAUACAGACCUGAUGAUGGAGAUCAAAAGCCUAAACCCAGAUGCUGGCAAUGGUCUGAGGGGCUCCCCAGACCUACGAGGCAGGGCCCCCUCCCCCUGUAGAAACUUCAAGUAUCUGACGCUCACUUUCCCAGACUCCCUUGCAGCUUGUGCACGUGCAAGGGGUGGGGUCCAGAAAGCUCUCAGGGGAGGGGUGGGGGCUUCAGGGGCAGCAUGUGGGAAUGCCAAAUUUAGGCAAAAUAAAAUAAUAGUAAAACAUGGUAUGGGACA